GGGUUGUGAGGUUAAGCGACUAAGCGUACACGGUGGAUGCCCUGGCAGUCAGAGGCGAUGAAGGGCGUGCUAAUCUGCGAUAAGCGCCGGUAAGGUGAUAUGAACCGUUAUAACCGGCGAUACCCGAAUGGGGAAACCCAGUGUGAUUCGUCACACUAUCAUUAACUGAAUCCAUAGGUUAAUGAGGCGAACCGGGGGAACUGAAACAUCUAAGUACCCCGAGGAAAAGAAAUCAACCGAGAUUCCCCCAGUAGCGGCGAGCGAACGGGGAGGAGCCCAGAGCCUGAAUCAGCAUGUGUGUUAGUGGAAGCGUCUGGAAAGGCGCGCGAUACAGGGUGACAGCCCCGUACACAAAAGCGCAUAUGCUGUGAGCUCGAUGAGUAGGGCGGGACACGUGGUAUCCUGUCUGAAUAUGGGGGGACCAUCCUCCAAGGCUAAAUACUCCUGACUGACCGAUAGUGAACCAGUACCGUGAGGGAAAGGCGAAAAGAACCCCGGCGAGGGGAGUGAAAAAGAACCUGAAACCGUGUACGUACAAGCAGUGGGAGCCCCACCACUAAGCCAGUGGUGAACUCCACAUACGCAUCCUUUGCUGAGGAGACGGUUAACGGAGCGAAAGCGACGUUCAACCUCAAAAGAAGCAGAGGGGGCUUAGUGGUGGGGUGACUGCGUACCUUUUGUAUAAUGGGUCAGCGACUUAUAUUCUGUAGCAAGGUUAACUGUAUAGGGGAGCCGGAGGGAAACCGAGUCUUAACCGGGCGUUAAGUUGCAGGGUAUAGACCCGAAACCCGGUGAUCUAGCCAUGGGCAGGUUGAAGGUUGGGUAACACUAACUGGAGGACCGAACCGACUAAUGUUGAAAAAUUAGCGGAUGACCUGUGGCUGGGGGUGAAAGGCCAAUCAAACCGGGAGAUAGCUGGUUCUCCCCGAAAGCUAUUUAGGUAGCGCCUCGUGAAUUCAUCUCCGGGGGUAGAGCACUGUUUCGGCUAGGGGGCCAUCCCGGCUUACCAACCCGAUGCAAACUGCGAAUACCGGAGAAUGUUAUCACGGGAGACACACGGCGGGUGCUAAUGUCCGUCGUGAAGAGGGAAACAACCCAGACCGCCAGCUAAGGUCCCAAAGUCAUGGUUAAGUGGGAAACGAUGUGGGAAGGCCCAGACAGCCAGGAUGUUGGCUUAGAAGCAGCCAUCAUUUAAAGAAAGCGUAAUAGCUCACUGGUCGAGUCGGCCUGCGCGGAAGAUGUAACGGGGCUAAACCAUGCACCGAAGCUGCGGCAGCGACACCGUGUGUUGUUGGGUAGGGGAGCGUUCUGUAAGCCUGUGAAGGUGUGCUGUGAGGCAUGCUGGAGGUAUCAGAAGUGCGAAUGCUGACAUAAGUAACGAUAAAGCGGGUGAAAAGCCCGCUCGCCGGAAGACCAAGGGUUCCUGUCCAACGUUAAUCGGGGCAGGGUGAGUCGACCCCUAAGGCGAGGCCGAAAGGCGUAGUCGAUGGGAAACGGGUUAAUAUUCCCGUACUUGGUGUUACUGCGAAGGGGGGACGGAGAAGGCUAUGUUGGCCGGGCGACGGUUGUCCCGGUUUAAGCGUGUAGGUAUGUGUUCCAGGUAAAUCCGGUUCACUUUAACACUGAGGCGUGACGACGAGGCACUACGGUGCUGAAGCAACAAAUGCCCUGCUUCCAGGAAAAGCCUCUAAGCAUCAGGUAACAUCAAAUCGUACCCCAAACCGACACAGGUGGUCAGGUAGAGAAUACCAA
rnacentral:rRNA from 1 species